rnacentral:rRNA from 1 species
CCUGCUCAAUGAUAGUUAAAUAGCCGCUAUUAUAUAGUGCUAAGGUAGCAUAAUCACUUGUCUUUUAAUUAAAGAAUAGAAUGAAAGGAAUAACGAAUUAAAAACUUUAUUUAUUCUAAUUUAUAAAACUAAUAUAAAAGUAAUAAAGCUUUUUUAAAAAGAAAAGACGACAAGACCCUAAAGAACUUCACUAAAAGUUAAGCUGGGGUGGCUAUAUUUAUAAAAACUAAUACCUCACAACAAAAAACCUAAUUAAAUAUAAUUACAAGUUACCUUAGGGAUAACAGAAUAAUUUAGACAUAGAGAUCUUAUCUAAGUCAAUCAUUAUUACCUCGAUGUUGAAUUACUAAACAAAUAAAAGUAAAUUUUUAUAAAGUAAGUCUGUUCGACUUUUAAACAAGUACAU